UGGAUUAGUGGCGAACGGGUGAGUAACACGUGAGUAACCUGCCCUUGACUCUGGGAUAAGCCUGGGAAACUGGGUCUAAUACCGGAUAUGACCUUCCAUCGCAUGGUGGUUGGUGGAAAGCUUUUGUGGUUUUGGAUGGACUCGCGGCCUAUCAGCUUGUUGGUGGGGUAAUGGCCUACCAAGGCGACGACGGGUAGCCGGCCUGAGAGGGUGACCGGCCACACUGGGACUGAGACACGGCCCAGACUCCUACGGGAGGCAGCAGUGGGGAAUAUUGCACAAUGGGCGCAAGCCUGAUGCAGCGACGCCGCGUGAGGGAUGACGGCCUUCGGGUUGUAAACCUCUUUCAGUAGGGAAGAAGCGAAAGUGACGGUACCUGCAGAAGAAGCGCCGGCUAACUACGUGCCAGCAGCCGCGGUAAUACGUAGGGCGCAAGCGUUAUCCGGAAUUAUUGGGCGUAAAGAGCUCGUAGGCGGUUUGUCGCGUCUGCCGUGAAAGUCCGGGGCUCAACUCCGGAUCUGCGGUGGGUACGGGCAGACUAGAGUGAUGUAGGGGAGACUGGAAUUCCUGGUGUAGCGGUGAAAUGCGCAGAUAUCAGGAGGAACACCGAUGGCGAAGGCAGGUCUCUGGGCAUUAACUGACGCUGAGGAGCGAAAGCAUGGGGAGCGAACAGGAUUAGAUACCCUGGUAGUCCAUGCCGUAAACGUUGGGCACUAGGUG
rnacentral:rRNA from 1 species